UUAUAGGAUUCUAAUACUUCAACUUGUAUACUUAGAGGAUUCGAAUACUUCAACUUGUAUACACGAAGGGUUUGAAGACUUCAAGC
rnacentral:pre_miRNA from 1 species